AUGAACGCUAGCGACAGGCCUAACACAUGCAAGUCGAGGGGCAGCACAGGAGCAAUCUGAGGUGGCGACCGGCGGCACGGGUGAGUAACACGUAUGCAACCUGCCUGUAAGCGGGGAAUAACCCGUUGAAAGACGGACUAAUACCGCAUAAUACUAAAUUACUGCAUGGUAAUUUAUUUAAACAUUUAUGGCUUACAGAUGGGCAUGCGCAUGAUUAGCUAGUUGGAGAGGUAACGGCUCCCCAAGGCAACGAUCAUUAGGGGUUCUGAGAGGAAGGUCCCCCACACUGGUACUGAGACACGGACCAGACUCCUACGGGAGGCAGCAGUGAGGAAUAUUGGUCAAUGGACGAGAGUCUGAACCAGCCAAGUCGCGUGCAGGAAGAAUGUCCUUAAUGGAUUGUAAACUGCUUUUGCAGGGGAAUAAAGUGCAUCACGUGUGAUGUUUUGUAUGUACUCUGCGAAUAAGGAUCGGCUAACUCCGUGCCAGCCGCAGC
rnacentral:rRNA from 1 species